ACAUCUACGCAAUAUAUAAUAUAAAUUAAAAGUUGGAGUACCAAGAAAUGAUUUAACCAAUUAUCUUUCUAUGAGCCUUCUUAUAACUUAAAAUAAUAAUAGCUAAACCUAGGGCACUAAAAAAAUAGUUUUAGAGCAAGUUCUUGUCAAAAAAAAACUCUGACCGCCGGGGAAGAGAAUUGAUGAAUGGUCUUUGGAAUUAUUACUCACGGAAGCCCCAUAAUGACUGCAAGAUUGCUAGCUUAUAUGUUUAUGGCUACGUUUUAAAUGUAUCAAUCUCUACCCAAUUAAAAAAGGAUGAGAGACAAAUACCGUUUGAGGCAAGUAGACACGCAUAAUGUCCACGAGAGAAACGAAGCUAAAAAGCAUCGGAAGGAGCGAGGGAGAAGCAAAUGCGGAGUCUCGACUGUGGUCGUCUUGGUCUUGCUCGUCGCCGGGGUUGAGUUUCAGUUGUAUAGGCACUCGUAGCACGCAGUACCUAUCGUAGCCCCGGCAGCAUCAUCAGCAGAGACUCACUCAACUGACUAGACUCCACGAGGAAACUGAAGGAGCGAGAGGAGAGAAAAAGAGAAAGACUGAGGCGAUGCGGGCCACCCAUGGCGACCAUUCACUGCGUGGAACGGCACACGGACCCCAUCCCAUCUUGUGGCGGCGGCGACGGUGCUCAUCACCAUCCCGUCCACACACAGCAAGCAUCUCCAGCUCUAGCCUCGUCCAGACUCCAUAACGCAGCUCUCAUUACGCUGAUUUAAUCCUCUAUUACAAUUAACUCAAUGUUUAUGUCAUUUAUUGAUCGGGUCCAGCGGUUCCAGCGGCUCCAGAGAUUCUGGAGCUGGAAGCACGAAUCCAAGACGUCCACGAGAGAUGAGAUCCCCUGUUUAAUAAGACCUUCCACCAUCACCGGUUUGGUGCAGUAACAACAACAACAACAACAAUAACAACAACAGAUUCCUGGUGGUAGGUCUCUCGCACUCUCUCUCUCUUUUCUUCUCUAUCCAUGUGUGUGUGCAGCUGGAUGUAUAUAUGUGUCCGUGGCUAUAUAUAUAUAAGUAUAUAGAUCGUCUUCUCUGCUAUGCUCCCUUGAUUUAGGCUUCUCUCUUACUCUUUUCCUGCUCGAGCCGGAAGGCAUGCUAUGAGAGACAGGGACAGGGGGAGGAGACAGGAUCUAAAUGAAAAUGUCUAUAAGCAGCAGCCGCCGCGGGUUCUUACAACCCAUAUACAGUUCUGGUGCCUUCUUGCCUUCUUUUUCUACCGCCUUCUACAAACUUCUUCCCUGGUUCUUCUUCUUCUUCU